CUCUGAGAUUCUUCUAAAAGGGUGUUAUACUCAUUUGUAAAGCUACCAUCCUGCCCUAUACUCUUCCUCCUUUAUUUUUACCUCCACGAUUUUCUCUAGAACGGGUUUUAUGGAUUGACACCCAACUGGUGUAACAUUUCUCAGCUGUACUGUUUGCUCCAAGGACUUUAAGCUGCUUUUUAGGUUUUCAGAACAAGAUUGUGCCAGCUUCAGGAAAUGGUUUUUGAAUUUCUCCAUAUUUGUUACAGACAACUUAAAUGCUAUGCAGCUGGUUUGAGCCUUAUCUUCUUGGUGAUUUUUGGAAGGUAAAUCAUUUGGGCUCAUGAGGAACAGAGGAGCCAAACCACUAUUGAGAAGAUUGCUGUUCACCAUUUUGACAACCACACAAGCCACAGAUGAUACUCUCAGAUUCUAAAGCCUGCCUCCAUUCUCUGGCUGUGGCCCCUUCCUCCAUCUUCAAAUCUAGCAAUUCUGCGAAAAUCUUUCUUAUGAUGCAUUUCUCUGGUUCCAACUCCUCUGCCUCCCCUUUCACCAUUUAAGGACCCUCUGAUUAAACUGGACUCACCCAGAAAAUCCAGGGUAAUCUUUUCAUUUUAACAUCAGCUGAUUGGCAACCUUGCUUCCAUCUGCUACCUGAAUUCCCUUAGCCAUGUAAGGUAAUAUAUUCACAAGUUCUGGAGAAGAAGACAUGUACUUCUUUGGAGUGACAGAGGGACUAGCUACUACACACUGGAAGAAUCAAAUAUUCAAUAUGAG
rnacentral:lncRNA from 10 species